rnacentral:rRNA from 1 species
GAGGCAGCAGUGGGGGAAUAUUGCACAAUGGGCGCAAGCCUGAUGCAGCCAUGCCGCGUGUAUGAAGAAGGCCUUCGGGUUGUAAAGUACUUUCAGCAGUGAGGAAGGGUGUGAAGUUAAUAGCUUCAUAUCUUGACGUUAGCUGCAGAAGAAGCACCGGCUAACUCCGUGCCAGCAGCCGCGGUAAUACGGAGGGUGCGAGCGUUAAUCGGAAUUACUGGGCGUAAAGCGCAUGCAGGUGGUUUGUUAAGUCAGAUGUGAAAGCCCGGGGCUCAACCUCGGAACCGCAUUUGAAACUGGCAGGCUAGAGUACUGUAGAGGGGGGUAGAAUUUCAGGUGUAGCGGUGAAAUGCGUAGAGAUCUGAAGGAAUACCAGUGGCGAAGGCGGCCCCCUGGACAGAUACUGACACUCAGAUGCGAAAGCGUGGGGAGCAAACAGGAUUAGAUACCCUGGUAGUCCACGCCGUAAACGAUGUCUACUUGGAGGUUGUGGCCUUGAGCCGUGGCUUUCGGAGCUAACGCGUUAAGUAGACCGCCUGGGGAGUACGGUCGCAAGAUUAAAACUCAAAUGAAUUGACGGGGGCCCGCACAAGCGGUGGAGCAUGUGGUUUAAUUCGAUGCAACGCGAAGAACCUUACCUACUCUUGACAUCCAGAGAACUUAGCAGAGAU